CAGAGCAGGGGGUUGGAACUGGAUGAGCACUGUGGUCCUUUGCAACCCAGCCCAUUCUGUGCUUCUAUGACUGUAUGUGUGUUUGAAGAGAUUCACGUGCAGGAAACCACUGAUAAGUUUUCACAUUUAUCUGGGAAUUCUGUGAGUGAGCAAAGCUCAUUUGUGUGGUUUGGUGAUGUCCACAUUGCUGUCUGAAUGAGAGAGUGGUUGUGGCUUUGUGGAGGAGAAACAUGGUGAUGUAGCACUUAAGGACGGGGUUUAGUGGGCAGUGUUGAUGGUAGGCAGACAGUUGGACUGGGUGAUCGUGGAGGUCUUUUCCAACCUGAAUCUGCAGAAAGAGUGCAUCAAAGCAAGUCUUUAAAUGCUCUGUACAGAGUGACUUGUGUCUGAUAUGGGAGGAGUGGGUGCCCUGUUGGUGCAAAAGUCUUUUUUUAGGGACAUAAAUAAUAUCUGAGAAAUGUGAGUGUUUAUCUCUUGUUGCUCUAGUGGCCUUAAGCUUGAAAGCUGAUGAGGAACUCGGGGCUUUAGUUACCUAAUACUUUUCCAUUAGAAAAGAUGUUUAAUAAUUUUGAGUAAACUGAAACUUCCAUUGUUUAUAACAGGCCUUUGAAAAGUGUCAAGUACUGUGGAGCAAUGUUUUGUCUUCUGAAAUUCUAUUCAGGUUUGCCUGACAAACAUAUCCAGAUAUGUUUAUGUUUCCAUACCAUUGGUUGCUUUAUCAUAAAAUAUUAAGUAUGCCAAAUUAUAAACAAGAGCUUGUUCCAUGCUGCAGCUGUACAUGCAGGGGUCCUUUAUGUGCAAAGCCUCCUUGGGAGGCUGAAAGAAGCAGAUUCAGCUUUGGUUAUGAUGCAGCAUGCCUCUUUAUCAGGCCUUUUGUUUUCAGUUGGUGUUUUCUUCUAUCCAAAAGUGGUGUUGGGGGAAAUAAGAUGUACUUAGAAUUUCUGCAUUAGAGCUCAAGAGUUCCUGCUUGUUAUCUUCACAGUGGCGUUGAGGAGAGGUUUAAGUAAAAUUCAGGUUUGUCAGUGGGGUGUGUCAAUGCGUUGCCUUGGGAUGGUAGAUAAGCUGCACUCUUUGAUUUUGUCCUCGGCUCUCCUUCUCCUCGUGUGCAAUAGAUUUUGUUGUUGUAGAUACUGGAUUAAAAGAAUAGCAACCUCUUCUAUGGCAGUAACAGCAGACUGAUUCACUGUGAGCUUUGAAAACUGUAACACCCCAGAAAGUGCUUCCUAUUGCAGUUGUUAGUGACAGAAGAUGAUGCUGGCCUUGGAAAUGGACGUGGCUUGGGCAAACUGUUACGUACUGUAACUAAAGAUGGACAUUCAGUUUCUGAAGCUUUGCAAGCCUGACAGCAUCUUUUCCAGCAUCUGUGAGAACUGUAGCGACCAAUUUCACUCUGUUUUAACGUGAGAGAUGAAGAAGAUGAAUGUUUUGAAGUCUGUCUGUGCUUGACCAAGAUUCAGCCUGGAAGCUUGUGAAGAACUCAGCAUCAUAAUGUCCAUUUUCCUCUAAUCCUCUGUUUUGACAUCUGAAAAUAAAAUGCUUCUAAUUCCCAUUUAAUGGGGAUUUUUGAAGGGAAGAAGGCGCUUUCAAUUGUCCUGCAACUGUUACAGGAUUUCUUCUGGCUUGCAUCAUCUUGCCUGCUUGAAUAGCUGUCUCUGUUAAUGGCAAGGGUAAAAUGGUAUUGUUUGUGUCAUUCCCCAGAUUGAAUUUGUCAGAGAGAGUCGUUGUGUGGAUUGUGGUGUCAGUAUUUUUAAAUAAUCCUUCACAUGGUUAUGAACAGGACAGAGUCAGUCUAUAUAAUGAUAAAACUUGAUUACACUUUCUGAAAACUGGAUUAAACUUUGUCUAAAUAUACAAAAAUCCUGAAAUUCCUAUUUUGAAGUUUUUGUCAGGUUUUUUUUUUUUUUUUUUUGCUUGGCCAUUGCAACGUGCCAUUUAGUCUUAGCUACCAGGACAGAAGACUUGUUUUUCAACUGGGAAUUUGGUUUUAAUGCUGGAGGACACAAACAUUAUGCGUGCACUGCAUUACGAUGGGCACUGUGAUUUGUUUGUAACCCCAGCUGCUUUUCCUUUGUCUGUAAGGUGGCAGCUGGUGCUGUUUGGCUCGUGCCACCGUGGCAGGGAGCUGCAAGCUGUGCUAUGGGGAGCCCUGCUGGUGCCUUCCUCCAGCAGCUCCUGGCCAUGCUUCUGGUGUGCCAGGAAGCCCUCAGGAAGAGCUGCGAUGCCCACGUGAUACUGCAGCCAUUUGAAACCCCCUGACUUCAUAAGAUCUCCUCUGCUGGAAGUGAAUUCAAAGCACACCGACUUCCUCAUCCUCUGCGUCAGUGCAUUGUUCAGGUGCCAGCUGUGCCUUUUUGGGAGUUGGCACAGGGGGACGCUGCCCAGCAGAAGGGGCUUCCUGCCAAGCGGUGUCCUAAAUCACUUGUUAGGUCCAUGGGAUGUGACAGCAUUUUGUGGGAACAGCUCCUUUGAGCUCUUUGAGACUCAUAUUUAAUUCUGUCUAAAUCAGGGCUGCUUGUACACAUUUGAUAAGAAUAAACUGUUAGCAAGAGA